GGGUGGAGUCAGCCUCCAACUUGCUUGUCCUUGUUAUCCAACUUGUUAUCCUUUAAAAAAAGAAAUAAAAGUAGUGAGCAUGGUGUCCAAAUUGCUUUUAAAAUCCAGGGCACUGGAUAGUCUUGCACUAUCUAGUUUUUAGCCAUUAGGGAUUGGGGGGAAUUUGGACAUUGUGAAACAUUUGUGUGCUCUCUCUGUCUCAGGUUCAUGUUCUCAACGAUCCACAGCUGUCAUCAUUUAAGGUAAUCAUCCUCUUUGUAUUUAAUGAUCUGGCUUGCAGCUCAUCUGGUUUGUCUCCUUUUUGUAUCUCUGUUGGUUUCAUGGUUUUGUUUGUUUUUUUUUAAACUUCUGACUUCCUGGGCUCCUCCAUUUUGGGUCCUACACCAAUGAUGUCAUCCGUGUCAGGUCCUCUGGUUCCCCAGCACCUAACGCAGACCUUCUUUGGCCAGGCGAUCGCUGAGCCGGCAUUACGUGUGUCUCUCAUUCGUUAUGAGUGAGACAUGGAUAUGACCUACAUCCCACCAGCCUGGACUCCUGAUGAGCACCAAGGGAGGAGGAAACUGUGAAAGUUAACUCAAAGACUUCCAGUCAAGAAGUGAUAUUUAGCACAUGCAGAAGACCUUCAGACUAGUGCAAAAGAAAUGCAGUUACAAGAAAAUGUAUGUGAAGCCUUUGGAUUUACUUGGAAUUCUGCAUGAAUUUGUCAUAAAAUAUGCUCUGAUCUUCGUCUAAGUCACACAGUCUGCUUGAACUAAUAAAAACAAAAAAAUCAAAUUUUUGUUGAACAAAAUCUGUAAACAGAGUACAGGGUAAAAAAAAAAAUUGUGAACCCCAAGGCAAAUGGCUUCCCCAAGAGCUAAUUGAAGCUAGGAAUCAGCCAACCUGGAAUCCAGUCAAUGUGAUGAGACUGGACGUGUGGGUUAAAGCUGCCCUACCUUAUCAAAACACACAACAGUUUUAGGUCAACUGCUUUCAAGAAGACAUGAACCAUACCUCACACAGAAGAGCUCUGGGAAGAUCUUUGAUCAAGAAUUGCUGAAUUACAUAAAACUGGAAAGGGUUACACAAGUAUCUUAAAAACCUUUAGUGACCAUGUUAAGACAGACCAUUUACAAAUAGAAAAAUUCAUGCAGAAAUCCAUAUACUCUUUCUUGCAACACUAUUAGUAUCGUUUUUUAAUUUCCCUGCAGGCACGUCCCAAGAGGAUUAAUAAAGUUGUCUAUCUAUCUAUACUAACCAAGAGA